UACGGGAGGCAGCAGUGGGGAAUUUUGGACAAUGGGGGAAACCCUGAUCCAGCCAUUCCGCGUGAGUGAAGAAGGCCUUCGGGUUGUAAAGCUCUUUCGGCAGGAACGAAACGGUUUGGGCUAAUACCCUGAGCUAAUGACGGUACCUGAAGAAGAAGCACCGGCUAACUACGUGCCAGCAGCCGCGGUAAUA
rnacentral:rRNA from 1 species